rnacentral:rRNA from 1 species
AAUUAUUGGGCGUAAAGAGCUCGUAGGCGGUUUGUCGCGUCUGCUGUGAAAGCCCGGGGCUUAACCCCGUGGUGUGCAGUGGGUACGGGCAGACUAGAGUGCAGUAGGGGAGACUGGAAUUCCUGGUGUAGCGGUGAAAUGCGCAGAUAUCAGGAGGAACACCGAUGGCGAAGGCAGGUCUCUGGGCUGUUACUGACGCUGAGGAGCGAAAGCAUGGGGAGCGAACAGGAUUAGAUACCCUGGUAGUCCAUGCCGUAAACGUUGGGCACUAGGUGUGGGGGACAUUCCACGUUUUCCGCGCCGUAGCUAACGCAUUAAGUGCCCCGCCUGGGGAGUACGGCCGCAAGGCUAAAACUCAAAGGAAUUGACGGGGGCCCGCACAAGCGGCGGAGCAUGCGGAUUAAUUCGAUGCAACGCGAAGAACCUUACCAAGGCUUGACAUACAUCAGAUCGGCUCAGAGAUGGGUUUUCUCCUUUUGGGGUUGGUGUACAGGUGGUGCAUGGUUGUCGUCAGCUCGUGUCGUGAGAUGUUGGGUUAAGUCCCGCAACGAGCGCAACCCUCGUUCUAUGUUGCCAGCACGUGAUGGUGGGGACUCAUAGGAGACUGCCGGGGUCAACUCGGAGGAAGGUGGGGAUGACGUCAAAUCAUCAUGCCCCUUAUGUCUUGGGCUUCACGCAUGCUACAAUGGCCGGUACAAUGGGUUGCGAUACCGUGAGGUGGAGCUAAUCCCAAAAAGCUGGUCUCAGUUCGGAUCGUGGUCUGCAACUCGACCACGUGAAGUCGGAGUCGCUAGUAAUCGCAGAUCAGCAACGCUGCGGUGAAUACGUUCCCGGGCCUUGUACACACCGCCCGUCAAGUCACGAAAGUUGGUAACACCCGAAGCCGGUGGCCUAACCCUUGUGGGGGGGAGCCGUCGAAGGUGGGACUGGCGAUUGGACUAAGU